rnacentral:snRNA from 1 species
ACGUAUGAUUUUUUGCUUUUU